GACAGUUCGGUCCCUAUCCGUCGCGGGCGCAGGAAAUUUGAGAGGAGCUGUCCUUAGUACGAGAGGACCGGGAUGGACACACCGCUGGUGUACCAGUUGUUCCGCCAGGAGCAUCGCUGGGUAGCUAUGUGUGGCAGGGAUAAACGCUGAAAGCAUCUAAGCGUGAAGCCCCCCUCAAGAUGAGAUUUCCCAUUUCUUCGGAAAGUAAGAUCCCUGAAAGAUGAUCAGGUAGAUAGGUUUGGAGUGGAAGUGUAGCGAUACAUGGAGCGGACAAAUACUAAUCGAUCGAGGACUUAACCAAAA
rnacentral:rRNA from 1 species